AUAUUCCACCCACUAGCAGCAUCCGAUGGAUCUCUCCGACAAGGCAUCCGACAUAACGGCCAGAGUAGGGCUUGCCAGUGGAGCCUGGCUGCCUGAGGUGGUCGAGGUAGCCCUUCAAUUUCUCAUCCCACAGGAUCUAAGGUGAAAGAGUACACCCCGCUCCCUAUUGAGAGCGUGAAGACUACCGAGCUAGAGUAGAGGCAAUAUCCAGCCGCAAGCAAGUUGCUGCCCGGUUGGCAGACGCUGAUGAUGCACCUCUCUUUGGCUUGGUCGAGCUGUGCCAUAGCAGUGUUCAGUAAUUCAGCAGGUGGGAUCAAGAGGUCAAAUUGCAGUAUGACAGGUAUCUGCUGUACUCUAAAGCAGACUAAAAUCUGAAUAGCUUCCAAGAUGUUGGGGACUCGCUGACAGGGUGCAGAUAAGCUUAUUUGAUUUUGCUUUAGGAAUCAAAAGCAUACUUG